rnacentral:misc_RNA from 1 species
GAUGAAGAACGCAGCGAAAUGCGAUACGUAAUGUGAAUUGCAGAAUUCAGUGAAUCAUCGAAUCUUUGAACGCACCUUGCGCUCUUUGGUAUUCCGAAGAGCAUGCCUGUUUGAGUGUCAUGAAAAUAUCAACCUUGACUUGGGUUUUGUGCUCUAGUCUCGGCUUGGAAUUGGGUGCUUGCCGCUUUUACGAGCGGCUCACCUUAAAUGUAUUAGCUGGAUCUGUCUUUGAGACUUGGUUUGACUUGGCGUAAUAAGUAUUUCGCUAAGGACAUUCUUCGGAGUGGCCUCGUUUCUAGGACGCUUGUCCGCUUUCUAAUACAAGUUCCACCUCGUGGACAUGACUUUUUAUUAUCUGGCCUCAAAUCAGGUAGGACUACCCGCUGAACUUAAGCAUAUCAAUAAGCGGAGGA